AGCGAACGCUGGCGGCAGGCCUAACACAUGCAAGUCGAACGAACCUUUCGGGGUUAGUGGCGGACGGGUGAGUAACACGUGGGAACGUGCCUUUAGGUUCGGAAUAACUCAGGGAAACUUGUGCUAAUACCGAAUGUGCUCUUCGGGGGAAAGAUUUAUCGCCUUUAGAGCGGCCCGCGUCUGAUUAGCUAGUUGGUUGAGGUAAUGGCUCACCAAGGCGACGAUCAGUAGCUGGUCUGAGAGGAUGAGCAGACACAUUGGGACUGAGACACGGCCAAAACUCCUACGGGAGGCAGCAGUGGGGAAUCUUGCGAAAUGGGCGAAAGCCUGACGCAGCCAUGCCGCGUGAAUGAUGAAGGUCUUAGGAUUGUAAAAUUCUUUCACCGGGGACGAUAAUGACGGUACCCGGAGAAGAAGCCCCGGCUAACUUCGUG
rnacentral:rRNA from 1 species